UACGUAGGGGGCAAGCGUUGUCCGGAAUCAUUGGGCGUAAAGCGCGUGUAGGCGGCCCGAUAAGUCCGCUGUGAAAGUCCAGGGCUCAACCCUGGGAUGCCGGUGGAUACUGUCGGGCUCGAGUCCGGAAGAGGCGAGUGGAAUUCCUGGUGUAGCGGUGAAAUGCGCAGAUAUCAGGAGGAACACCAAUGGCGAAGGCAGCUCGCUGGGACGGUACUGACGCUGAGGCGCGAAAGCGUGGGGAGCAAACAGG
rnacentral:rRNA from 1 species